GUACAUUUGAAUUUGAAUUAAUAAAGACUUCUUUUGUGUAUGUGGUUCACAAUUCACCAAUUAUGUAUUAGUAAACGUACUAUUUCAAUCGGUUUAAGUGCUUAGGGGAUAUGAGUACGCAUCCUUAAUACUUUCCAUGUGAUUGUAUUUUUGUAUUAACACAUUACCGAUGGGACUGUACAAAUUAGAUGCUUCUGACACGUUGACUUUUACAUACUACACUCUGUCAAUACGAACAAUUUUUAACUUUAAGAAACUCUAAAGGAA